GAUGAACGCUGGCGGCGUGCCUAAUACAUGCAAGUCGAGCGAAUGGAUUAAGAGCUUGCUCUUAUGAAGUUAGCGGCGGACGGGUGAGUAACACGUGGGUAACCUGCCCAUAAGACUGGGAUAACUCCGGGAAACCGGGGCUAAUACCGGAUAACAUCUUGAACCGCAUGGUUUGAAAUUGAAAGGCGGCUUCGGCUGUCACUUAUGGAUGGACCCGCGUCGCAUUAGCUAGUUGGUGAGGUAACGGCUCACCAAGGCAACGAUGCGUAGCCGACCUGGGAGGGUGAUCGGCCACACUGGGACUGAGACACGGCCCAGACUCCUACGGGAGGCAGCAGUAGGGAAUCUUCCGCAAUGGACGAAAGUCUGACGGAGCAACGCCGCGUGAGUGAUGAAGGCUUUCGGGUCGUAAAACUCUGUUGUUAGGGAAGAACAAGUGCUAGUUGAAUAAGCUGACACCUUGACGGUACCUAACCAGAAAGCCACGGCUAACUACGUGCCAGCCGCCGCCGUAA
rnacentral:rRNA from 1 species